rnacentral:rRNA from 1 species
UACGGGGGGGGCAAGCGUUGUUCGGAAUUACUGGGCGUAAAGGGCGCGUAGGCGGCCUGCUAAGUCGGAUGUGAAAUCCCUCGGCUCAACCGAGGGACUGCAUCCGAUACUGGCGGGCUUGAAUCCGGGAGAGGGAUGUGGAAUUCCAGGUGUAGCGGUGAAAUGCGUAGAUAUCUGGAGGAACACCGGUGGCGAAGGCGGCAUCCUGGACCGGUAUUGACGCUGAGGCACGAAAGCGUGGGGAGCAAACAGG